rnacentral:rRNA from 1 species
GACGAACGCUGGCGGCGUGCCUAAUACAUGCAAGUCGAGCGGACAGAAGGGAGCUUGCUCCCGGAAGUUAGCGGCGGACGGGUGAGUAACACGUGGGCAACCUACCCUGUAGAUCGGGAUAACAUCGAGAAAUCGGUGCUAAUACCGGAUAAUCAUUUGAAGUGCAUGCUUCGAAUGUAAAAGAUGGCUCCGGCUAUCACUACGGGAUGGGCCCGCGGCGCAUUAGCUAGUUGGUAAGGUAAUGGCUUACCAAGGCAACGAUGCGUAGCCGACCUGAGAGGAGGGUCGGCCACACUGGGACUGAGACACGGCCCAGACUCCUACGGGAGGCAGCAGUAGGGAAUCUUCCGCAAUGGACGAAAGUCUGACGGAGCAACGCCGCGUGAGUGAUGAAGGGUUUCGGAUCGUAAAGCUCUGUUGUUAGGGAAGAACAAGUGCCGUUUGAAUAAGGCGGCACCUUGACGGUACCUACCAGAAAGCCACGGCUAACUACGUGCCAGCCGCCGCCGUAACAC